UACCGUGGCUGGUGCCAUGAAGAGCUUUUUCUCAGAACUGCCUGACCCCCUGGUCCCGUAUAACAUGCAGAUCGACUUGGUGGAAGCACACAGUGUCACCAAAUGAAGGAGGCACUGUCCACAGCCCCUUUUACAGACAAGGAGACUCACCCUAAGGUGUCACUUGCCCAAGGUGACACGGUUGACGCGAGAGGCCGGAUUUGUACCAGGGCCAUCUGAGUCAGGAUCUGGACUCCAGACCACCACAGGACCUUCCUCCCUGCUCAGCGUGCCCGUCAUUGGCAUUCUGUCUGCUCUUCCAAGUCUCACUCUCACCAGGGUGCUUGUGCAACUCCCCCAACUCUGA
rnacentral:sRNA from 1 species